rnacentral:rRNA from 1 species
AUGUGAUCGUCUCUCGCAUAUCAAUAAGCGGAGGAAAAGAAACUAACAAGGAUUCCCCUAGUAACGGCGAGUGAAGCGGGAAGAGCUCAAAUUUGAAAUCUUAAAGGGUUUCCCUUUACGAAUUGUAGUUUAAAGAAGUGUUUUCUGUUGAGGUUUUGGUAAAAGUUCUUUGGAAUAGGACAUCAUAGAGGGUGAGAAUCCCGUAUUUGACCUUUACUUUCAACUUUGUGAUACACUUUCAAAGAGCCGGAUUGUUUGGGAAUGCAGUCCAAAAUGGGUGGUAAAUUUCAUCUAAAGCUAAAUAUUGGCGAGAGACCGAUAGCGAACAAGUACCGUGAGGGAAAGAUGAAAAGAACUUUGAAAAGAGAGUUAAACAGUACGUGAAAUUGUCAAAAGGGAAGCGUUUGACACCAGUGUUGUUUUUCUGAAAAUCAAUUAAAGAACUGUUUAUGCUAAGCUGUUUAGACUUUAUCAGCUAUCUGUUUAGUUUUGAGCUUUUCUUUAAUGCACUUUUCAGUUAACAAGUCAACAUCAAUUUCUUUUGCUGUAAAAAAGCUUGAGGAAGGUGGCUUGAGAUUCGUCUUAAGUGUUUAUAGCCUCUUGCCUAUGCAGUCGGAGAGAUUGAGGUCUGCAGCGUAGAUCCUUCGGGGCUAAAUGCAUUUGUGCUAAGUUAUAGCAUUUUAUAGACAACUUGUUGACUAUGAUUUGUCUCGUAGCUUACUCGCUUAUGUUAUUUUACCUACGCUUAGGAUGUUGAAGACUCUACAGAGAUA